CCAGUCUUAGAUUAGACCACUGCGCCUGCGCGCAAGGUGUUCGAGGCGAGCGCCGCGUCUCUCAUCAGCGCUAUCUAUGUAUCCGCACGCACAUGUACAGCGGCGCCGGCGGCCGCAGGUAAUAUCAAUCUUCAUCGGCGUGCACGAAGAGAAGAGGUCUCUGGAUGGCUGCCUGCCUCCGUUCAUCGGCAAUCCACGAGACGAGACGAGGGAGGGAUGCGGGCAGAGCAAUAGCAGAGCCCGCAGCCUCGACGGAAGACAAGGCAUCAAGAGAGAAGAUGUGCGCGACACAACCAUAUAUUGGAUCGCGUAGCCUAGCCUGCGCCUCAUAUGACAUGGUCACUGCAGCCUCGCAGCGGUCACUAACAGGGAGAUGCAUAAGGAUCUUUGAGGCAUUACUUGCCCCAAAUACCUUAUGGAUAGCGGCAAAGUGUGCAGCACCUUGCUCAUGGCAGAAGUAUGGGGCGAAGACACACCCCUUCACACACUUCCUGCGUAGGAACUUGCACGCGCCACAUGGGCUCCACUCAUGAGGCACAUCUUGCAGAAAACAAGUGUCGGUGUCGUAAUGAUCCUUGCUGAAAUCCAGGAAGCAGUUCUUCAUCAACUUUCUUCCCCUUACCGGGUUCAAAUUAUGUACAGAUAAGGUGCUUCCGAUCGUUGGAUGGCACAUUUAACUGUCCAGAUUGAUCGAUGAAAUCUGCAUUCAGGGCCACCGACCGGAGUUACAGAUUCGCACUGGCAGAAAAAAUGGGCUUGCUGAAGGGAACACCUAAGGGCCCCAUGGCUGCCCUUGCCGGAGAAAAUGCAAGCCACAGCAAGGUCUGAAUCCAUGUUGGUGAUGGAGAUGGAAAUGGAGCGAGUUGCUAGAGUGCCCCACCGGCGCACAUGCGGCAUGCAAAUAAGCGAAGAAAGCUGCUUGCUUCCCCUGUAUUAAUCCAUGGCGCCGGAAGAGUUGGUAGGUAUCUUUGACUGGCCGGCCGUGUGAUGUAAGAGGAGAUGCAUUUGGUCUGUCAUCUUGUGAGCUUUUGCUUAGCGGCUCAAGAAACGCGCAUGCAUGCAUGAUCAUGGCUGGUCUGGACAAGAGCAACCAGAUGCCUACAAGCUACACAUACAUUCUGUCAACUGAAAGGACGGUGCAAAUAUCAUUUUGACCAGUCUGAUGGAGGCAACAUCUAUCCAUCUUUCGGAGUCUGAAGGAACGUGCGUGGAGUCCCUAUGGUAAAUCAAACAAAUUGCUGGGUCGUCAUCUCUUUCAGGUAAUUGCGAAUCAAGCUCCUCCUUUACACCGUUGAACUGGCACAAUGUUGGAUAACUAUGCGUGUCUGCACUUGCAUUUUCUGAAGGAGACGUACACAAUUACACAUGCCGUCUUUAUUUUCAGAGGGUCUAUUAUAGGACCGUGUAUUGUAAACACGUAUAUGCAGUAGGACCUAUGCAGUAUUGCAAUACACGUGCCAAUGCUAAGGCCUAUUUACUUGAUGGAUUGAAUAUCUGUCAGGCCAGCCCACAGAAACUCAUGAAAGCACACCAAAAAGGUCCAAGUAACCCAUGGUCGAUCAGUAACUACCAAAUACAGCCCAGUAGGUAAGGAAAAAAGUUCACAUUUGGUCCCUCCAACAGGGGUUGAGUUUCAAUCGUAUCCCUCGACCCCAAAAGUAGAUAUUGAGCACCCUUAACUUUAAAACCAGUGCAAAUUAAAUCCCUAAGCGGUUUUAGCUAACGUGGUGCCCCACGUGGCGUGUUGACCCGGUCAUCGUCCUACGUGGUGCUUAACAAUUAAAAAAAAUAGUAGGACCUACAUGUCUUCAUUGGCAUCCCUUUCUUCCUCCUCGACACCUCUCUCUCCCAUCUUCUCUCUCCGCUAGUGAGAAGAACAAGUUGACGAUGGUAGUCAGCCAAGGAGCGAGUUCCCCAGCCAUUAGCCUCUGCUCUCCUUUGCCAUCGAACAUCUUCUUCUGUUGCUUCGUCGCCACUGCCUCCUCUCCUCUCUCUUUCUCCCCCCAUUCUACAGCAGCAUCGAGGAGGCCUAGGUGAGAAGCUCCUCACCGCAUCACCAGUCGUUGCUUCUACCUUCCCAUUGACGAGCUAGCGAGCUCGAGCUCACCGGCCACCACUGCUGAUGCGUGUCCAUGUUGGGAGAAACAUGAAAAGGAGAGAGAGUGAGAGAAGGAAGAAGGGAUAUGUUUUAGCGAUAUGUAAGGCCCACCUAUAUUUUUUUUUGAUUGAAGUGCUACGUAGGCGUCACGUCAGCUAAUACUAGACAUAAUACUACUCUAUCUGUUUUAUAUUAUAAGACUUUCUAGCA